CAACUUGCUCAGCCAGUAGAGCAUGAGACUCUUAAUCUCAGGGUAGUGGGUUCAAGCCCCACGUUG
rnacentral:tRNA from 1 species